UACGAAGGGGGCUAGCGUUGUUCGGAAUUACUGGGCGUAAAGCGCACGUAGGCGGAUUGUUAAGUCGGGGGUGAAAUCCCGGGGCUCAACCCCGGAACUGCCUUCGAUACUGGCAAUCUUGAGUCCGAGAGAGGUGAGUGGAAUUCCGAGUGUAGAGGUGAAAUUCGUAGAUAUUCGGAGGAACACCAGUGGCGAAGGCGGCUCACUGGCUCGGUACUGACGCUGAGGUGCGAAAGCGUGGGGAGCAAAC
rnacentral:rRNA from 1 species